rnacentral:rRNA from 1 species
AUUGAACGCUGGCGGCAGGCUUAACACAUGCAAGUCGAGCGGGGUGAUGGUGCUUGCACUAUCACUUAGCGGCGGACGGGUGAGUAAUUCUUAGGAAUCUGCCUAUUAGUGGGGGACAACAUCUCGAAAGGGAUGCUAAUACCGCAUACGUCCUACGGGAGAAAGCAGGGGAUCACUUGUGACCUUGCGCUAAUAGAUGAGCCUAAGUCGGAUUAGCUAGCUGGUGGGGUAAAGGCCUAACAAGGCGACGAUCUGUAGCGGGUCUGAGAGGAUGAUCCGCCACACUGGGACUGAGACACGGCCCAGACUCCUACGGGAGGCAGCAGUGGGGAAUAUUGGACAAUGGGGGGAACCCUGAUCCAGCCAUGCCGCGUGUGUGAAGAAGGCCUUAUGGUUGUAAAGCACUUUAAGCGAGGAGGAGGCUAUUUUGGUUAAUACCCAAGAUGAGUGGACGUUAAUCGCAGAAUAAGCACCGGCUAACUCUGUGCCAGCCGCCGCGGUAA